GGAUGUGAGGGCAAUCUGGUUGCGACAUCUGUCACCCCAUUGAUCGCCAGGGUUGAUUCAGCUGAUCUGGCCGGCUAGGCGGGUGUCCCCUUCCUCCCUCACCGCUCCAUGUAUGUCCCUCCUGAAUCUGCGCGCUCGGUGGAAGAGGACGACCAUCCCCGAUAGAGGAGGACCAGUCUUCGGUCAAGGCUAUAUGAGUAGUUGGGCUCCCCUGCUAGAACCUCCAAACAAGCUCUCAAGG
rnacentral:lncRNA from 1 species